GUGCUUGCUUCGGCAGCACAUAUGCUAAAAUUGGAACAAUAUAGAGAAGAUCAGCGUGACCCCUGCGGAAGGAUGACAUGCAAAUUUGUGAAGCAUCCCAUAUUUUU